AAUGCUGACAUAAGUAACGAUAAAGCGGGUGAAAAGCCCGCUCGCCGGAAGACCAAGGGUUCCUGUCCAACGUUAAUCGGGGCAGGGUGAGUCGACCCCUAAGGCGAGGCCGAAAGGCGUAGUCGAUGGGAAACAGGUUAAUAUUCCUGUACUUGGUGUUACUGCGAAGGGGGGACGGAGAAGGCUAUGUUGGCCGGGCGACGGUUGUCCCGGUUUAAGCGUGUAGGCUGGUUUUCCAGGCAAAUCCGGAAAAUCAAGGCUGAGGCGUGAUGACGAGGCACUACGGUGCUGAAGCAACAAAUGCCCUGCUUCCAGGAAAAGCCUCUAAGCAUCAGGUAACAUCAAAUCGUACCCCAAACCGACACAGGUGGUCAGGUAGAGAAUACCAAGGCGCUUGAGAGAACUCGGGUGAAGGAACUAGGCAAAAUGGUGCCGUAACUUCGGGAGAAGGCACGCUGAUAUGUAGGUGAAGUCCCUCGCGGAUGGAGCUGAAAUCAGUCGAAGAUACCAGCUGGCUGCAACUGUUUAUUAAAAACACAGCACUGUGCAAACACGAAAGUGGACGUAUACGGUGUGACGCCUGCCCGGUGCCGGAAGGUUAAUUGAUGGGGUUAGCGCAAGCGAAGCUCUUGAUCGAAGCCCCGGUAAACGGCGGCCGUAACUAUAACGGUCCUAAGGUAGCGAAAUUCCUUGUCGGGUAAGUUCCGACCUGCACGAAUGGCGUAAUGAUGGCCAGGCUGUCUCCACCCGAGAUUCAGUGAAAUUGAACUCGCUGUGAAGAUGCAGUGUACCCGCGGCAAGACGGAAAGACCCCGUGAACCUUUACUAUAGCUUGACACUGAACAUUGAGCCUUGAUGUGUAGGAUAGGUGGGAGGCUUUGAAGUGUGGACGCCAGUCUGCAUGGAGCCGACCUUGAAAUACCACCCUUUAAUGUUUGAUGUUCUAACGUUGACCCGUGAUCCGGGUUGCGGACAGUGUCUGGUGGGUAGUUUGACUGGGGCGGUCUCCUCCUAAAGAGUAACGGAGGAGCACGAAGGUUGGCUAAUCCUGGUCGGACAUCAGGAGGUUAGUGCAAUGGCAUAAGCCAGCUUGACUGCGAGCGUGACGGCGCGAGCAGGUGCGAAAGCAGGUCAUAGUGAUCCGGUGGUUCUGAAUGGAAGGGCCAUCGCUCAACGGAUAAAAGGUACUCCGGGGAUAACAGGCUGAUACCGCCCAAGAGUUCAUAUCGACGGCGGUGUUUGGCACCUCGAUGUCGGCUCAUCACAUCCUGGGGCUGAAGUAGGUCCCAAGGGUAUGGCUGUUCGCCAUUUAAAGUGGUACGCGAGCUGGGUUUAGAACGUCGUGAGACAGUUCGGUCCCUAUCUGCCGUGGGCGCUGGAGAACUGAGGGGGGCUGCUCCUAGUACGAGAGGACCGGAGUGGACGCAUCACUGGUGUUCGGGUUGUCAUGCCAAUGGCACUGCCCGGUAGCUAAAUGCGGAAGAGAUAAGUGCUGAAAGCAUCUAAGCACGAAACUUGCC
rnacentral:rRNA from 1 species